GGACUUCAUCUGUUGCUUUAUGCAAAGCUAGGCAUGAUGUCUCCGUGUCAGUACCUUCUAAACAAAGAGGAAAACUUUUCCCAAGGAACUUAUGGAUUAAAUCUCAUACAAGGAUGCCUUUGGGCAGCAUGUUUGGAUCCUGGCUUGUAGAAAGGUCUAUACCUAUCCAUCUAUUCGUUUCAGAUCGCUCUAGAGAUGGGAAUGUUACUGUGAAAUGCUUGAACAGCAAUUCUUCCAUCCUAAAGCAGGUCUUUAGUGAUUUUAUAGAUGAGGAUAGUUUUUUCUCAGAUGAGAUUGAUACAACUUCAGACUGUGGCAAAAGUAUUUCAAC
rnacentral:misc_RNA from 1 species